rnacentral:rRNA from 1 species
UACGUAGGUGGCAAGCGUUGUCCGGAUUUAUUGGGUUUAAAGGGUGCGUAGGCGGUUCUAUAAGUCAGUGGUGAAAUCCGGCAGCUCAACUGUCGAUGUGCCAUUGAUACUGCAGAACUUGAGUACAGACGAGGUAGGCGGAAUUGACGGUGUAGCGGUGAAAUGCUUAGAUAUCGUCAAGAACACCGAUAGCGAAGGCAGCUUACUAGACUGUAACUGACGCUGAGGAGCGAAAGCGUGGGGAGCGAACAGG